rnacentral:rRNA from 1 species
CCGCGUAAGACCACAGCUUCACAUGGAGCAGGGGUCAAAGGAGCAAUCCGGAUAAAGAUGGGCUCGCGUCCGAUUAGCUAGUUGGCGAGAUAACAGCCCACCAAGGCGACGAUCGGUAGCCGACCUGAGAGGGUGAUCGGCCACAUUGGAACUGAGAAACGGUCCAGACUCCUACGGGAGGCAGCAGUGGGGAAUAUUGGGCAAUGGGCGAAAGCCUGACCCAGCAACGCCGCGUGAGGGAAGAAGGGUUUCGGCUCGUAAACCUCUGUCCUAUGGGACGAAGGAAGUGACGGUACCAUAGGAGGAAGCCCCGGCUAACUACGUGCCAGCAGCCGCGGUAAUACGUAGGGGGCGAGCGUUGUCCGGAAUGAUUGGGCGUAAAGGGCGCGUAGGCGGCCUGCUAAGUCUGGAGUGAAAGUCCUGCUUUCAAGGUGGGAAUUGCUUUGGAUACUGGUGGGCUGGAGUGCAGGAGAGGAAAGCGGAAUUACCGGUGUAGCGGUGAAAUGCGUAGAGAUCGGUAGGAACACCAGUGGCGAAGGCGGCUUUCUGGACUGAAACUGACGCUGAGGCGCGAAAGCGUGGGGAGCAAACAGGAUUAGAUACCCUGGUAGUCCACGCGGU